CUCCCAUGAAACAAUGGCUCCCAACCGCCGUCGCCGCCAGCGCUAUGUCGCGCGUCGUGCGCAGUCGACGCGGUGUGGUCCGGCCGCCGUCGCUGCGCCGCUUCCCCUGCCUCCCCUCCUUUUCCUCAUCCUCGCCCUCCCCCUCGUGCCGGCGUUGUCGUCCGCCGGCCAACGCCAGCCUUCACAGCUGGGUGGAGUAGCCCAGUGCGGGUAGGCUCCACGAGCCGCAGCGCACCCCCGGCUGCCAGUUCGUGGCCACGACGCGGCCGAGGAGACCGCGGGAGGGGCGGCGCCGGCCGCCGAUGGCGGAGGGGCAAGCGUCGCCGCACGUGGAGGGGUCGCGGGUGCCGUGGGCGCCAUCCCUGGUGGAGGAGGAGCGGCCGUUUGUCGUUGAAGAACGGCGGUGCUCAGAGGAUGAAACUCGGAUGCAUGGCCAUGGGAGGUCCAGCCUGAGGGCCUAAGCCGGCGUUGCCGGCCGUCGACGUCGCAGCGAAGAAACGACGUCCAUGGCCACGACGUGCGCGGUAACUCCGUCGAGUGUUCCAUCAGUGGCCGUGGAGAGGAAGAACAAGAUAUCCUCCUUGAGUUGCAAAGAAAUGAAGAUGGCAUGGAUCCAUGCUUACCAGAUGGAGUUUUUGGUCUCGUGGCCUUUUUCCUUUGCUCGUAGUUAGUAGAGUAUGCGUGCGUGAUAACAUUUUAGAAGUGAAAAAUGAGACAAUGAAAAGUAAAGGAGAAUGAAAAGUGACAAAAAUUGUAAGAGAUUCGCAUUGAUGUGAUUGUUUAUAUAUAUACAUACAAGCCUA